rnacentral:lncRNA from 1 species
AAUGAAUCAUACUGUGGAAUGUAUUUCAAAAUAUAUUUUUUGAUGUCAUGUAGCAGGCUAGGGUUCUUAUGAACACCUGUUUUCUGGAACAAUCCUAAUAUCAGUUUCUAGAAAUGAAUAUUUAUGGUGAUACCUAAUUGGUUAACCUUUAAUUGUUUAUUGGACUGUCUGCAGCUAAUAUGUUUUGCCUAACAUAUCUAGUUGGUAACACUUGAACACUUGAUAACCAAAAUAGAAGAGAUAGCCCGAUAGUCUACCAUAAAAUGGCUUCCUAGAGAAACCACAAAAUACUCAACUUUAGAGCCAUGAAGGUAUCAAGGGACACCAGUUCCACACUCUAGUACUGCUAUCUUUCUGCUUGUUCCUGGCUACAUAAAUAGGACAAAGAUGAGACUAACAUCGUCUGAAAAUUCUCAGACUACAGUGUUUAGUCAGACAAAACAAUUUUAGCAUAGGUGGGCAGGACAAGUUCAUAUCCUAGUCUUAGAAGCACCAUGCAUGCAAUGAACAUAAUAAUGGGGUGGGCGCCUAGGAGAUAAAUUUUAUUAUUUAUUCAGCAUUUAAACUAUUCUGUCAUUCUAACUAUAUACGCUCACUCAUACAUGAUGCCAAGACCAAAGAUUAGAGCAGACUGGUUUGGAUCCUAGGGUCUGAAGAAAAAAAAAGAAACAUUUUUUGAUAUUUGCAAUGUGUAUAUAUGAAAUGCUUUCUGUAGCAUGCUAUUGUGCUACUAUUUAGACCUAGACUCAACAUGUCUAGUCAUGUAUCUAAUUGAUAGAAAUCAAUCAGACGAUGACAAUCAAGAACAUUUCAAUGGCCACAUAAAUCAUACAACAGAGAAUAACAAAUUCAAGCUGCAUGUUCAGGAUAUUCUAAGACUAAACUUCAAUAAAUGGAUUCUCAAUUUUCUGCAGAGAUGCAAUAUCAUGUCCUUCAACUAUAUGGAAGAAUAAUAUACAAACCAAUGGUAAUCAUGUUUAGCCUACCUAAUUCAAUUGAAUGAUAAAAAUUAUCUUAUUUCACAGAUUUUUUCUUAAAACAAAUCUAGCAAUUUGACAAAUCUAGUAAAUUUGAGGGGAUUGAAUUUACCUAGUGCUAGGUUGGCACCAUGGGAGCAGGAGAGGUGGGAGUUGACUGGCCACUCAUCCGGCAUCGAGCAGCGGAAGGCAGCUGCGACUUUCACUAGAACAUUAGCUGAGAAAACAAAUCCACAAAGCAUAAGUAAUGAAAUUUAGAACACAAACCUUUAGAAAUACAAAAUAGUUCUGAUAGUCAGGGAUUGCCCCAAGAUAAUAAGAAAAUAAGAAAAAUGGCUCUUCUAUAGAAGAUAUAGAAGUUUGAAACUACUGAUUAGCUGAACUGUUGAUUCUGAAAGGACAAAUCAAUAGUUAGAUACCACCAGCUCUCUCUAAUGGAUUAGAAUUGAUUAGCUUCCUGGCUCAGCAAAUCUAUGCACAAUUACAUUAACAAGGACUAAAGGCUAGCCUUAC